rnacentral:lncRNA from 1 species
UUGUGAAUUUUUCAUAAAUCGCUUUAUCAUCGAUUUAUGAAAAAUUCUUCCGCUACGGUAAAGUUGUGUUACGUUUAGAUAUGAUUUGCCGCAAAAGCCGUCGUUUGUAUGCAUCUAGUCAAUAAGUUAUCAUGUUAGCAACAUAUAAGUUCCAACAAAUAUGAUGCACAACGCAAAAGUAGUUGAGCACCCCUGUCAGAAAUCUCUACACAUUCCAUCCAUCGACCACAUCUCUGCUACUACCGUUGCACGAGCAAAGAGCGUCCAUCCUAAUCGAGCAAGCAAACUCACACCGAAGCACAAAUCCAAUACCAUACGGCGAGGGAGAGUGAGAUUACGCUCGCAGUCGGCAAAUGACCCCUCUCAGCAUACCGGCGCAAUACUCACACAAGCGAAAGCUGUGUGUUGACGAUUGGUGAGAGAACAGAACAGUGGUAGUUCGAGUCAGUCCGGCUUGAUGUGCGGAUCAGUUUCCGAAAAGUGAAAGUUGUUUUCGUGAAUUGCGGUGGCGGAUUUCAAGUGCACAUCUCGGUGCAGGUGCAGAAAAUAGUUGGAAGUGGCAGAUAUCACGCCGAUCAGGAUCCACAUCCCACGCAGGCCAAAAGAUCAUUGGCGAUAAAGUGCGAUCAGUGCAGGGUGUUGACGGACAAUCCGCUAGAACCGAGCGCGGCAUAAUCCCGUUCCGCUCCAUUGGCAUACGGUGGACACGAAACGCCACGAGGAAAGUGAAUCACAGCGGCCGACAGGAAGCGCAAAACGGAUCUCCCAGGCAGUUGACGUUGAUUAGCGAGGAAGCUUUAGCGAACCGGCCUGUGGAAGACCGACGCCGAGAGAGACCGACCAACAGCUCGAAGGAGAAGAGACAUCGGAAGGCCCCUUUAAGGGUGAGUGAACGAAAAUGAAGCCGAAUAAAGCACAUCCGACUGAAAGCGUAAUUACAUCAUUACAGGGUUUUUGUGUUCCAUUUCUGGAACCACUUUUGCCAUUGUUGGGCAGUCGCUCAGGCCGUCCGAGUACUGGGUCAUCUUUCUUCGGAUCCGAGGUGAGGAGAACUCCAUCAAGGCAAGACCGUGUGAUAUUGUGCGCUCAGUUAACGACGGUGGUUGGAUACGGCCCGAAACGCUUCAAGACGAACUCGGCCAGCGGCCGAAGGCAGCGCAGUCCCAAGAGACGGUCACCGUGAAUCCCAUUCAUGCUGGGCCGCCCCCCGCCGGUUGAGGGCAAGUUCUUCAGCAUCCAUCAGUCAAGGAAGGAUGAGCUGGCAGGAUGGUGCAUCAGUCGGGAGCGCGCGGUCGGUGUUAGUGCACAGAAGCGGUGCCGUGAGUACCAGCGCCUAGAUUAAGCCAAGUUACGAUGAUUGGGACGGAGGUAUUAUGUUAA